GAAAUAUAAAAAAAAUAAACUUCUAAUUUAUAUAAAGUGAUUAAAUUCAUUAAUAUUUCU
rnacentral:tRNA from 1 species